GGUCCUGUGGUGUAGCGGUUACCACUCAGGACUCUGAAUCCUGCGAUGGGAGUUCAAAUCUCCCCGGGACCU
rfam:Pristionchus pacificus strain PS312 contig7872, whole genome shotgun sequence.